GUGAUCGAAAGUUAAGCGCAAUCAUAAGGGUGGGCCAUGUAAAAAUAUGCAGAAGAUUGAGCCCCAGUCAUUUUUUUGCGUUAAAAAUUUCCGCGCAAAGAACAAGAUAUCUGUUUUUUGGGCUAAGUACCGGAAAAAAUUUUUACCUAAAAAAGUUAUCGACGGGGGGGGGGGAAUUGGAAAAGGGGUGGGUCAUAAUUUUUCAGCACCAAUUUAAGGGUGGGCUACACAUUUUCGUGCACCUAUUAAGGGGUGGGCUACCAAAACUGCAGACACCAAAAUAUAUGAUUUUCCCAGCUUUACUUUAUGACCGGUCCCUAAAAGCACAAUUCUGAUUUCACAAAAAGGAAAGGAAAGGGUGUGGGUGCAAUGAAUUGCACUCCUUGGGGUUGUUAGGCUCUUAGUCUCUUAAAAGCCAUUGAUUUGUUACACUAGAAGGUAACGCGGUUUAAGAAUAACCACUGGAAUUUGGAAAAUUGGAGGAUAGAAUAUGGAAGGGAUGUACCCUCUAUGGACAUGGAGUGAUGGAGAUGCAUGUUAUUGUGUCACAAAUGUAAAAUGCUGUACAGUUAGACUAGUAUUGUGACAUGUUGGACUU